rnacentral:rRNA from 1 species
UACGGGGGGGGCAAGCGUUGUUCGGAAUUACUGGGCGUAAAGGGCUCGUAGGCGGCCAACUAAGUCGGACGUGAAAUCCCUCGGCUUAACCGGGGAACUGCGUCCGAUACUGGAUGGCUUGAGUUCGGGAGAGGGAUGCGGAAUUCCAGGUGUAGCGGUGAAAUGCGUAGAUAUCUGGAGGAACACCGGUGGCGAAGGCGGCAUCCUGGACCAACACUGACACUGAGGAGCGAAAGCCAGGGAGCAAACGGG